GCGCGUCAGAUACACGACUAAUACUUAAUUAACAAAAUCCAAUCUAAGUAACACUACUUUCUUGUUUCCUUCUCAAUACGUUUGACUUUGCACCAAACAUGAUUGAAGUUGAAGAACGAUUUAUCCUCAACAAGGACAAUGAGGACAGUAACAAAUGUAUUAAGAAGAAAUCUCCAUUAACAUUGAAGUUGGUACUUUUUGUCUUAUCUUCUGUUAAUGCAAUAUACAUUUGUUCAACUAAUUUGGAGCAACCAAUGGUUUUCAUUCGUGCAACAGCUAAAUUGUUGGAACUAAGAGUCACCGAUCAGUCAUGUCAUCCUUCUCAUCUUGAAGAUUUGGAACUCCCUUAUGUGUAUUUUCCUCACCCAGGUAAGAAAAUGUCUAACUAUUUCUUAUUCCACCUAUUAAUAAUCCAACAUCUUAAAAGUCGGUUUUGAAAAAUAGUAUCUAAGAAAUUAUCGGGUCGAGUAUAGGGAUGGCAAAUAUAUUGAUAUUCAAUGAAUACCUACAACAAAUACUAAUAAGUAGGGUAAAAAUCCAAAAAAUAAUAUGGACGUGGAUAUUAGUAAUUACCCAUUAAAAUAAGCAGAUUAGAGUAUAGGUACGGAUACCUUAGUACCCACACCGCUCCAUACUAAUAAAUGUAUAUUCAUGUAUUUUAAUUUAUAUUAUCAUAUAAAAAAUAUGUCUCUCUCUUUUAAAAAAACACACCACAAUUAAACUAUUGCACAUAUUAAUAUAGGUGUUUGUUUAUUUCAUAAUUCAACAAUAAAUUUUUUGAUUUUUUUGUUAAUUUUGUUAAAAAAUUAAAAUGAUAUGAUAUUUUUUUAAUUGAUAGAUUUAUUUUUACUAGAACUACGGAUAACUGGUACGAGUACUUAGGUACUCAUAUGGUACAAGUAUGGGUAUAAAAUGUUGGUGCCCACAUGGGUACGGGAAUUUUUUCAAACUGCGGCUAUGGAGAUGGGUACUAUAGUAACUUAUCCAAACCCUACCCAUUGACAUCCGUAGUCGAGUCAGGAAUUAAGUCGCUCUUUUUAAAAUCUUUCACGACCCUGCCCAAAAUUGUGAAGACAGACUAUCAUCUACGACGCCUCCAAAAUAAAACAACUCAAUUCAAUACUAUGGUUAUUGAUUACUACUGCACAAUGUAUAAUCGAUCUAGAAAUACACUCUCUAGGAUACAAAUAUCACUCUUUAAUAAUUUCUCAAAAGAGAAGUUCAAAUAAUUUUUCAAAAAAAAUUCAAUAAUGGUCGUUUGACCAACUUAGAUAAUUUUCCAAAAGAGCGGAAAUUUAAAUAAUUCUCCUAAGAGAAUUCAAGAAAAUACUCGAAAAAAUCAACGAGUAGAAAGAAAAUGAAGAUGUUGACGCUCUAACAAUUUGUGAGCAUAGAGUAAGAGAGUAAGGAAGGAAAAACUCAAAAGUAGUUUUAGUAUGUUUUGGAAUGUAACGUGUGCAUUUUUUAUAUAAUGAAAUAAACUAGCUAAGAUAUGUAAACUAAAUGCGACUUAGAAUUUUCUUUUUAUUAUAUAAUAGUGAAAACUAACUUUAAUGUCUAAGCUAAGCAAUGUGAGACUUAGAAUUUUCUCAAUUAACACAAACACAAAGUUUUUUUAAAUGUGGAAUUUAAUAAUUUUUUUCUUCAAAUUCAUCCUCCAUAUUAGAAUUUUGACAUGUUCUAACACAAUAGCAUAAUCAUGUGCACUUAUUGUUCUUGAAAUGAUAAAGGUCCUGUCAAACAGACACAAUUAUAAGGCCAUACCCAAAGCAACAUCGAAAAAGGACAACGAACAAGUGGAACCAUGCUAGAAAGUUGGACAUCUGAUUCGAGUUAACAAUGCAUCAGCCACAUGUUACCAUGCAUCAGCCACAUGUUAUAUCAUGUAUUAUCAUUCUACUCCAUUAUUAUCUCAAUGGCUUUGGCGUUUAGUGUUAACCUUACAGGUCCACCCUCACUACAUCGCACCAAAGAUUCUCACCACUAUACCUAGAAGAUUUUCUCCCUUAACAGACCAAUCUCUUUUUUGUGACCAAAACACCAAUGUCAUCUGUAGGAAACAAAUUCUAAUUCUAGGAAAUUUCCAAAAAAAUCCAUCAUCUCUUAAUCGCUGCAUCAAACAAACAUUUCUUCUCUGCUAUUCUUUGAUCAACUAUGUAUCAACUAUGGUGGCAUCUAAGUCUGCUCAUAUCACAACUCAAGGUAACGCCAACAUCGCCUCUGAAGUGACGAAUAAUGCUUUCGACCUCUGUUGGCUGGGAUUUUUGACCUGAGCUAAAAUCCAGCGAAAGAGAAUGAAAAGCAUUGUGAGAGAAAUAUUCUCAAGUCGAACCACAUUUGGUCGACUAAGAAACCAAAAGGAAAAAUAGCUUAUCAGGCUUAUAAGUACUUAAAAGCCCAAGAAGCGGGCAAAAGGCCCAAAAGAUUCAAAUAAAAAGUAUAUUUCAUGCAGGUUGAAGUUUUGGAGGGAAAAGACACCUGAAUGUAUAACGUGGAAGCGUGGGAUGGAAGUUAAGGUGAAGAACGUGGGGUUCUUAAAGAAGUCGACAACCUCACCAAAGUAGUUAUUUUUAUGCACUAUAAAUAAAGAACUUUGUGCAUAGCUUUAGAGGUUCACAAUUUUACAAACGCCUGCACGCUGUAACACUCCGAGUACCCAAGCGAACGAGCGAAAUGAGUCAAGCAAGGGCUAUGUAUGUUUAAACCAUCUACUUUUCUGCAAAUUUUAAAUGUUAUGUCAUUUAUCUUUUACUCUUUUCGUUUUCCUUUGUUCAUUUGUGGUUUGAUUUUCACCAAAUACGUUUUUACAAAAAAUAUCGUUCUGAGUGUGUUAGACGUCGUGUCGAACACCCUCGUUUUUGUAACUAAAACAAAAGAACUUCUCACAAAAAUUAUUGCAAACAAAAGCACUAUUCUGAGAUUCUCUGGUCGAUCUCGCAAGUAACCUUUAAAAAGAGACUAGCGAAGUUUACCAAAACCCGAGGUGGACAACCCCGCAAGAAAAGCUUUGCCUUCUACAGAAUGAGGAAUCAAUCCAGUCCUCAUGACUUCUCCCAUCGUUUUGAUUUCUUAAGCUUUGGUUCCUCCGCUUAUGUGCAAAAGAAAAUUUCUGAUCUUGCCGAUCUUUCAACCUCUCCAACAGUUACACGUAGGUCAAACAUCUAAACAACUACAAUCACACGUUCCUAGAUCAGAGAUGCUCCAAAGCCUCCAGCAACUCCAAGCCAAUAUUGGCAUGCAAGGAGGCGAAAUGAACUUCUCACUAGCAUAUACAACUUGGCGCAACAACACAAUGCCCAUCUCUUAAACUAAAUACUCCUCAGAAUAAAAAGAGAACCUACAACACGCUCGAUCUUGAGAUUGCUCGCUGCGGGAAGUGACAUUACGCAAUAAUUACGAAACCUCGCCUAAACCGAUCCUCAUUAACACCGUCUCUUUGUAUCGAUUUGUUUCUAAAUUGUCACCUAUAUCAGACACACCACUCUCCAUCACAUGACUUGGGGGGAGAGGUGACAUCCAUACUCCCUCUAAAGAACGUCAACCCAGAAGAUCUAUGUUACGCCACCCUUAGGAAUGGGACAAGCGAGACAUCAAAAUACAAAUUUUUGAUCAAAGAAGAAACCAAAGAUUUAGGCACAUCCUUGAUAGUCCGAUCCUAAUAUUUCUCAAUAAGCUCCCUAAGUUGGAUAAUUAUGACGAGAUCGGAGAUCUAGAUGAACAUAUUGAUCAAGUGGAUACUAUGCUUGAUUGUCACAAUGCCGUGAGUGCGGUGAAACGCAAAUUAUUUGUCUUGACUCUCAAAGGAGCAGCCGUGACAUGGUGCAAAACGUUUCCUAAUAGAUGUAUAAAUAGCUCCUACAAAAUCUCUAUGAUUCCUUCACAACUUAAUUUACAUCCCAAAAACGGCAGCCCAAGACUAUUGUCUUCCUCAGCAAAAUCCAACAUAAAAAAAAGGAAAUUCAGAGGAAAUACAUUGAUCGAUUUACCAAGGUAUCUGUCGAAGUAAGGGAUCAAAUGAAUUACUGAAAUGUUGGAUAUUUGGAAAAGGAUUAAAAGCAUACUAUAUGUUUAACGAGAAUUUAAGGAAGGAAGGUGUUAGAGGCAUGAGUGACCUCCCCGCCAGGGCAAAACCGUACAUUAACUAUAAAGAAAUAUUCUAGAUGAAAAGAGGAAAUAAGUUGAGGAUAAUUGAACCUGGAAAAUAACCGAUCAAUUGAAAGAGACCUCAACCGAUGUCGAGACGACGGAGACCAAGGUCCCUAAGCCAUAUUUUCAACCUACACGCCCCCUCAAUACAUCUAAGGAGAAGAUCUUGCAAGAAUUCUCAAACACUGAUUUCAAGGAAACGGAAAUAAAGAAUCCUCGACUCUUAAAAUAAUUGUCAUGACUUAUAAGAUGAGAUUUUUUUUCGAUUUCAAAUGAGCAAUGAACAUAAUACAAAUGAGUGUGUAGCCUGAAAAAUGCAAUUAAGGAACUGAUUAAAAAAUGAAGCUUAAACUAGUACACCAAGGAAAACGUACAGAAGGAAAAUUAUGGGAUAAAAAGAAAAUAUAAAAGGUGAGACGAGUCAUCAAGGAAGAAGCAAUUGCCUCGUCGAGAGAAUGUGUCCCUAAAAAAGACAAUUGAUGUCGUGAUAGAGGGAAAAGGAACACAAUAUAGCAGUUACAAGGAGGAUGAAGAUGGAGGAGGAAAAAUGUCAAUUAAUAGCCUUUAUCACCAGAGGUUUUUGCUGCCUAAAUAUCCCAUCAAAAGGAAUGUUCAAGAAAGAAGAUGUAGCUUCUAAAAGCAAGUCAGAAAGACUUAUCCUUGGAUUCAAAGAUAGUGAAAUAGUGGGUGGCAUCACAAAUGAGAAUUUUCCCUUGAUUACAACGACGACUAUUGCCAACUUUGAUGUUUCAUGGAUCCUUAUCAACGGGGGAAGCUCGUAUGAUAUCAUGUGCACCAAAUUCUUUGAAAAGUGGAACUUGAAAUAAAAAGGUUAUCGCCUUAUACAUGCUCCAACCUAAUGCUAUCAUUGGCACAAUAACCCGUUCAUGAGAUAUUUUUAGAUUUCAUGGUCACGCUUGGAGAAGGAAAAGACACCAGGACAAUAGACCUACAAUUCUCUAUGGUUCCGUGCAAAAGUGUGUACAACUGCAUUUUGGGUAGACCUUUCACUGCAACACUAGAUAUUGUGGCCUCCAUGAUUCAAUUGAAGAUGAAAUACUAUAACUUCCAUGAUGAGUCUAUGACAAUAUGCGCCAGCAAAUCUAGAGCUCGGAAAAUACGCAAAUCUUUGUAGCACAACAAGGACGUGACACCUACUAAAAAGGGGAAAGAAAAUGUGUUGGAAAAGUCAACAUCGCCAAUCUCCACAAGCGCUUAGAGGAGAUGGUAGUCAUUUCUCAUAGCAGAGGACGGGCUCUCUAACAGUUAUAGUAUGAAGAAUCCUAACUCAAUCAAUGCAAGUGACGUCAUCAAGAAAAUAGCUUGUCAUUUGGUUCUGAAAAAAUAAUCAAGGAACAACGCUGAAGCAACUUAGAGUCCAUUACAACACUCGACCCAAGAGACUAUAAUGAUAAUAAAUCUACUACUAAGGAGAAAAUAUCUGGACCAAUAAGACGAAAAUUAUAUCAUGAUAGCUAAGUACUUUUAACCAUACAUUCAAAGGUUCAUUUUAUUUUAUAAUCAUUUUCUUUCAGUAGUGAAUAAAUCCUUCGCUAAAUUCCUUUCUUUACUGUCAUGAAAAGACAAGUAUGGAUAAAGGGUGUUGUUGCAAACACCAUGAAUGUGUGACUAAAGCAAUCAAACAUCCACAACGAAAGUCAGUUAAUCAAAGACACCAAACCUAGAAAUAAAAUAUGGUGAUACGGGUUUACCCCCUCCUCUUGGUAACUAGUCACUCCAUGGUGCUUGAGGUGAAACCUUAUUACGCGGGCCUAGAACUUAGUCUAAACUUAGGGGUAGGAAAGAAGAGUAGACCCUUGGUCGCGCGAGCUCCUUAGAGACGUCUAGUAAAGCUUCUAAGCACAAUCACGCGAAUGAGCAGGGAAGAAUGUUGCUUAGAAAUCCUGUUUAAGAGCAUAAACAUUCAUGAAGAGGAAGAAUACAUUUAUUGUAUGUACUCCACAGUCUUUUAACAUAUUCUGGAGAGAGCGCCCUUCCACUCCGAGGAGGAACACACCCCGGUAAAAGCUUGGUACAUACCUCCUUUAUUGGAAAAAAUAGAAAUGAUGAGUCUUCGUCUUUAGACUCUCAAGCGAUCCGACAAUUACUUUGGUCCAUCUCGGUUUCACUGCCAAUACAUUAAAAAAAACGAUAGUGAGUUUAAGCAUGAGACUGAGAUUCCAACCACCACAUCACUUCAAUGUCAUUAGGAUCAAGACCAACAACCAACCCUCUAUCUUUGACGACAAUAUAUUAUUUCGAGACCUUCAUACAAAUCUUAAUAGCAACUCGAACGAUUAAUAAGUGGGCAUAAUAAAAAGAAGGCAAAGUAAUUACCUUUAAGACAAGCAACUCCCGAUAUGUGUGAGAACCAAGUCGCCUGAGCACCACGAAAGAUGUUGGAAGAAGAAGAAAGUGAUACACAGAUCCUUAAACCUCACAGGCAAUGAAAAAGAAAAUAUGAUCAAAUUCACCCUUUAGCCUUCAUAUAUUGAUUGUAGAAGACCACACGAUCUGCAAUUAAAUAUUUAGGAAAGCACAUCAUUACCACAAACUAUCUUGAUUGAACCUCACUAGAGAGUCGGGCACCUGACCUGAGUUAUUGAUGCAUCAACCACCGUCAAAUCUGAUCGGACAGCUUCCCGUGAAACACACUGGAUCAAGUAGGAACAAUUUUAAACGUUUAUUGUGUACAAGUUCUACCAUAUGCCAUAAUAGAUAUUUUCAUGUUCACUCUUGCCAUCGUACCAUAAAGACUUUCUCCCUUCAUCCAACCAAUUUUCGUUCUCUCAUGAGAGUAGAUUCAAUUUUGACUUGUGGUCUAAGGAGUUAUCAAACUUUUAAUAUGUACCAUUUUUAGAAGGUUGUAAUUUGAAGUAUAGUUCACUAUGUUAUUGAAUUGAUGAACGGGCAGGGAAGAAUGUGGUUGCAAUCCUGUGCGGUAUUUUUGCAUCAUAUCAAUGCAAAGAUCUGGGAGUGGAUGGUUAGAGGCACUUUUGAAUAGUCACAUUAAUAUAAGUUCCAAUGGGGAGAUAUUUUCUAAACACAAAAGAAGGGGAAGUGUUUCAUCAAUUUUAAAGACAAUGGACAAGGUGUAUAAUCUUGACUACUUUACAAGUGCUUCCAAGAAUCAGUGCAAUGCAGCUGUAGGCUUCAAGUGGAUGCUUAAUCAGGUAGGGUUUGAUGGCCCAUCAUGAGGAGAUAGUGGAAUACAUCCAAAGAAAAGGAGUUUCUGUAAUAUUCCUAUUAAGAAGGAAUUUCCUACGUAGAAUAGUAUCUUUGUUAGCAAAUUCCUAUGACAAAUAUGCCAAGCAACUCAAUGGAACCCACAAAUCUCAUGUCCCAUCCACAACAGAGGUAUCUUUCUUGUCCUUAAUCUUAUGUUCUAACUUAAUUGGUUUCAUCCUACUAUAUAUUGCAGGCUGAAGUUCUUGCCAAAUACAAACCAUUGAUCAAGACCACAUCACUAAUGGCAGAGCUAAAGCAAACAGAGGAGACAGUUGCAAAAGCCAUUGAAUACUUUAACAACACUCGCCACAUUGUUCUCUACUACG